rnacentral:hammerhead_ribozyme from 1 species
GCACUGCUGAUGAGUCCCACAAUAGGACGAAACGGCCGCCCAGUGC